AUCAGACCCACCCCCUAUUGGCUCUUCCGGCGGCGAGUUGGGUUGAGUGGGGAGUGCCAGGCCCGCAGCGGCCGGCUGACGGUACCCGAGAAUAAUGAGAAAGUCUCCCGUGAUGCUUCCGUUGGUGAAAUCAGCAAGGAACCAGGUUAUAUACAGGGCCAUUCCCCAAAGACGCACAUCUUCCAGGCUGUUUCUGCAGACAGUGAAGUGCCAGGCCACACAGACAGUCCGAAAAACACAUUGCUUGAGAAGAACAGUCUGAACUGUAGAUUACAGGCUCCAACAGAACCCCAACCAACUUGCAAAGAGAAAAGACACAAGAGAAGAAGAAUAAGCAGUUUUGUGGACAAACUGGAAGAAGUCACCUGUGUCCGUGAAAACUGCCCGAACCAUCUUUCUGAGCUGCUCCCUCCACAAUUUCACAUUUCCUGUCUUGAUAUCCAAUUAUGACUGGAGAUGGUGCCACACUUCUGGAAAUGAGCUUUGAAUUCACGAACUGCUGAUUUUCCUGCAUCCAGUCUGUCA